AACGCAAAUUGCACUUCCUGGUAUUCCGGGAAGUAUGCCUGUUUGAGGGUCGUUUUAAAUUAAAUCGAUGUGUUGUUUUUUCGUGAUGACACGUCGGGGUUGGGUUAUCUUAGCUUUUUUUAGUUAAGAGACCUAAAAUUGACUUUUUUGCGCAUUCUGGACGUGUAAUUUUUUUAUCUGUCCUCGUUAUGCUCAAAUGAUUUCAUUAGGUGCGGUCAUGCUCAAUGUGAUCUAUAGUGCCUAUGAAUCUCGUUUUUCGACCUCAAAUCAGGUAGGGAUACCCGCUGAACUUAA
rnacentral:misc_RNA from 1 species